rnacentral:tRNA from 1 species
GACCCGUUAGCUCAGUCGGCAGAGCACCUGCCUUUUAAGCAGGGUGUCCGGGGUUCGAAUCCCCGACGGGUCA